GAAGAAAGAGGGAGGGGGGUUGAACACAUGCAAGUCGAACGGAAAGGCCCUGCUUUUGUGGGGUGCUCGAGUGGCGAACGGGUGAGUAACACGUGAGUAACCUGCCCUUGACUUUGGGAUAACUUCAGGAAACUGGGGCUAAUACCGGAUAGGAGCUCCUGCUGCAUGGUGGGGGUUGGAAAGUUUCGGCGGUUGGGGAUGGACUCGCGGCUUAUCAGCUUGUUGGUGGGGUAGUGGCUUACCAAGGCUUUGACGGGUAGCCGGCCUGAGAGGGUGACCGGCCACAUUGGGACUGAGAUACGGCCCAGACUCCUACGGGAGGCAGCAGUGGGGAAUAUUGCACAAUGGGCGGAAGCCUGAUGCAGCAACGCCGCGUGCGGGAUGACGGCCUUCGGGUUGUAAACCGCUUUCGCCUGUGACGAAGCGUGAGUGACGGUAAUGGGUAAAGAAGCACCGGCUAACUACGUG
rnacentral:rRNA from 1 species